rnacentral:ncRNA from 1 species
GUGACCCGUGCGGGAGAGCCUCGACCACGUCGAGCACCGAAGGAGCAAGCCUCCCCGCCAAUCUCUCAGGUACCGCGUACCGCACGGGAAGG